UACGUAGGGGGCAAGCGUUGUCCGGAUUUAUUGGGCGUAAAGAGCGUGUAGGCGGCUAGGUAGGUCCGCUGUGAAAACUCGAGGCUCAACCUCGAGCUGUCGGUGGAAACCAUCUGGCUAGAGUCCGGAAGAGGAGAGUGGAAUUCCCGGUGUAGCGGUGAAAUGCGCAGAUAUCGGGAAGAACACCCAUGGCGAAGGCAGCUCUCUGGGACGGUACUGACGCUGAGACGCGAAAGCGUGGGGAACGAACAGG
rnacentral:rRNA from 1 species